rnacentral:rRNA from 1 species
GGUUAAGCGACUAAGCGUACACGGUGGAUGCCCUGGCAGUCAGAGGCGAUGAAGGACGUGCUAAUCUGCGAAAAGCGUCGGUAAGGUGAUAUGAACCGUUAUAACCGGCGAUGUCCGAAUGGGGAAACCCAGUGUGAUUCGUCACACUAUCGUUAACUGAAUACAUAGGUUAACGAGGCGAACCGGGGGAACUGAAACAUCUAAGUACCCCGAGGAAAAGAAAUCAACCGAGAUUCCCCCAGUAGCGGCGAGCGAACGGGGAGCAGCCCAGAGUCUGAAUCAGCUUGUGUGUUAGUGGAACGGUCUGGAAAGUCCGACGGUACAGGGUGAUAGUCCCGUACACCAAAAUGCACAGGCUGUGAACUCGAAGAGUAGGGCGGGACACGUGGUAUCCUGUCUGAAUAUGGGGGGACCAUCCUCCAAGGCUAAAUACUCCUGACUGACCGAUAGUGAACCAGUACCGUGAGGGAAAGGCGAAAAGAACCCCGGCGAGGGGAGUGAAAAAGAACCUGAAACCGUGUACGUACAAGCAGUGGGAGCACCUUCGGGUGUGACUGCGUACCUUUUGUAUAAUGGGUCAGCGACUUAUAUUCUGUAGCAAGGUUAACCGUAUAGGGGAGCCGCAGGGAAACCGAGUCUUAACUGGGCGUUAAGUUGCAGGGUAUAGACCCGAAACCCGGUGAUCUAGCCAUGGGCAGGUUGAAGGUUGGGUAACACUAACUGGAGGACCGAACCGACUAAUGUUGAAAAAUUAGCGGAUGACUUGUGGCUGGGGGUGAAAGGCCAAUCAAACCGGGAGAUAGCUGGUUCUCCCCGAAAGCUAUUUAGGUAGCGCCUCGUGAAUUCAUCUUCGGGGGUAGAGCACUGUUUCGGCUAGGGGGUCAUCCCGACUUACCAACCCGAUGCAAACUACGAAUACCGAAGAAUGUUAUCACGGGAGACACACGGCGGGUGCUAACGUCCGUCGUGAAGAGGGAAACAACCCAGACCGCCAGCUAAGGUCCCAAAGUCAUGGUUAAGUGGGAAACGAUGUGGGAAGGCACAGACAGCCAGGAUGUUGGCUUAGAAGCAGCCAUCAUUUAAAGAAAGCGUAAUAGCUCACUGGUCGAGUCGGCCUGCGCGGAAGAUGUAACGGGGCUAAACCAUGCACCGAAGCUGCGGCAGCGACACUAUGUGUUGUUGGGUAGGGGAGCG